rnacentral:lncRNA from 1 species
GGCCUGUCAUAUGGGGUUUUUGGCAUCUGCCUAAAACACUUGAUAAACAAAUAUGAAAGUAGUACAAGAUUAUUUUUAAAAAUUAAGCAUUAUGAAUUACUGAUAGUUACAAGCAUGUACAACGAUGUAGGAAUACAACGACAAGCAUGAGCAGGGAACAAUGAUUUAGUUUCCCCGGAGAAAAGAUCUUGUACGUUUUAAUUGUGGGUCAGUGGGUGUCAUCGCCUUCAACUUCUUCAGGAAGCACGUCUGGAAAGAGAUCACUGCUUACUAUAUUCUUUCCUUCUUUACCAUUUGUGCAGCUGAUAUAAUUAAUAAACGUAAGCACAUCAAGAGAGGAAAUACCACACGUCCUCCUCCCUUACAAUAUAUGGCUUACUCCUAAUAAUGGAAGCCGCACAGGUCUUGAAGUAAUUCAUCUCAGGUCAUGACACCGGUUGACGCAUCUUUUCUCUGAGUGCCGGUAAAGGAGGUUUUAAGCAUCAUAAAUCAGUGCAACUUGUUAACAAACCUCUCUUUUCGUGUAUAUAAAUACCCUCAAAAAUCGUAGAAGUGUGACCUGUGUUGCAGAGAUAGUCAACAAUGGUGAUAUACUUGUAUGAUUUGAUAAAAUAUAAGUGAGAGGCAUUUGAUCGAGCACAAACUUAGCAUAUUGAUUAGAAUGGUUUAGUGUUAUGGUGAGGGUUUGGGGAGGAGAAAACAUGUGAGUUAAGUGAUGUUGAAG